AACAUUUCUAGCUUGCUAGAAGAUGACGAGUGGCGGACGCGGUGAGUAAUGCUUGGGAACUUGCCUUUGCGAGGGGGAUAACAGUUGGAAACGACUGCUAAUACCGCAUAAUGUCUUCGGACCAAACGGGGCUUCGGCUCCGGCGCAAAGAGAGGCCCAAGUGAGAUUAGCUAGUUGGUAAGGUAACGGCUUACCAAGGCGACGAUCUCUAGCUGUUCUGAGAGGAAGAUCAGCCACACUGGGACUGAGACACGGCCCAGACUCCUACGGGAGGCAGCAGUGGGGAAUAUUGCACAAUGGGGGAAACCCUGAUGCAGCCAUGCCGCGUGUGUGAAGAAGGCCUUCGGGUUGUAAAGCACUUUCAGUUGUGAGGAAAAGUUAGUAGUUAAUACCUGCUAGCCGUGACGUUAACAACAGAAGAAGCACCGGCUAACUCCGUGCCAGCAGCCGCGGUAAUACGGAGGGUGCGAGCGUUAAUCGGAAUUACUGGGCGUAAAGCGCACGCAGGCGGUUUGUUAAGCUAGAUGUGAAAGCCCCGGGCUCAACCUGG
rnacentral:rRNA from 1 species